UACGAAGGGGGCUAGCGUUGCUCGGAAUCACUGGGCGUAAAGGGUGCGUAGGCGGGUCUUUAAGUCAGGGGGUGAAAUCCUGGAGCUCAACUCCAGAACUGCCUUUGAUACUGAGGAUCUUGAGUAUGGGAGAGGUGAGUGGAACUGCGAGUGUAGAGGUGAAAUUCGUAGAUAUUCGCAAGAACACCAGUGGCGAAGGCGGCUCACUGGCCCAUUACUGACGCUGAGGCACGAAAGCGUGGGGAGCAAACAGGG
rnacentral:rRNA from 1 species